GGUUCACAGUCAGUUUUUCAUCCACCAAUACUCCCAGGUCCUUCUCCACAGGGCUGUUCUCAAUCCACUCAUUGCCCAGCCUGUAUUUGUGCCUGGAAUUGCCUUGACCCAUGCGCAAGACCUCGCCCUUGGCUUUGUUAAACUUCAUGAGGUUUGCACAGACCCACCUCUUGAGGCUGUCAGGGACCUUCUGGAUGGCAUCCUUUCCCUCCAAUGUGUCAACCAUACCACAUAGCUUGGUGUUGUUUGCAAACUU